rnacentral:rRNA from 1 species
CCUACGGGCGGCAGCAGUGGGGAAUAUUGCACAAUGGGGGAAACCCUGAUGCAGCGACGCCGCGUGAGUGAAGAAGUAAUUCGUUACGUAAAGCUCUAUCAGCAGGGAAGAAAAUGACGGUACCUGACCAAGAAGCCCCGGCUAACUACGUGCCAGCAGCCGCGGUAAUACGUAGGGGGCAAGCGUUAUCCGGAUUUACUGGGUGUAAAGGGAGCGUAGACGGCCAUGCAAGUCUGAUGUGAAAACCCGGGGCUUAACCCCGGGACUGCCUUGGAAACUGUGCGGCUGGAGUGUAGGAGAGGUAAGUGGAAUUCCUGGUGUAGCGGUGAAAUGCGUAGAUAUUAGGAGGAACACCAGUGGCGAAGGCGGCUUGCUGGACGGCAACUGACGUUGAGGCUCGAAAGCGUGGGGAGCAAACAGGAUUAGAUACCCGUGUAGUC